CUGCAGUCGACGGCAGCACGGGUGCUUGCACCUGGUGGCGAGUGGCGAACGGGUGAGUAAUAUAUCGGAACGUACCCUAGAGUGGGGGAUAACGCAGCGAAAGUUGCGCUAAUACCGCAUACGAUCUACGGAUGAAAGUGGGGGAUCGCAAGACCUCAUGCUCAUGGAGCGGCCGAUAUCUGAUUAGCUAGUUGGUGGGGUAAAAGCCUACCAAGGCAUCGAUCAGUAGCUGGUCUGAGAGGACGACCAGCCACACUGGAACUGAGACACGGUCCAGACUCCUACGGGAGGCAGCAGUGGGGAAUUUUGGACAAUGGGCGCAAGCCUGAUCCAGCAAUGCCGCGUGAGUGAAGAAGGCCUUCGGGUUGUAAAGCUCUUUUGUCAGGGAAGAAACGGUGAGGGCUAAUAUCCUUUGCUAAUGACGGUACCUGAAGAAUAAGCACCGGCUAACUACGUGCCAGCAGCCGCGGUAAUACGUAGGGUGCAAGCGUUAAUCGGAAUUACUGGGCGUAAAGCGUGCGCAGGCGGUUAUGUAAGUCAGAUGUGAAAUCCCCGGGCUCAACCUGGGAAUGGCAUUUGAGACUGCAUGGCUAGAGUGUGUCAGAGGGGGGUAGAAUUCCACGUGUAGCAGUGAAAUGCGUAGAGAUGUGGAGGAAUACCGAUGGCGAAGGCAGCCCCCUGGGAUAACACUGACGCUCAUGCACGAAAGCGUGGGGAGCAAACAGGAUUAGAUACCCUGGUAGUCCACGCCCUAAACGAUGUCUACUAGUUGUCGGGACUUAAUUGUCUUGGUAACGCAGCUAACGCGUGAA
rnacentral:rRNA from 1 species